CAGAGAGAGAAAAAUAAAAGAAAGCAGGGGGAAGGGAGGGAAUGUCCACCUGGAGCCUCCACCGCCAGUAGUGCCCGUCCCCAGCGCAUCCGCAGACGAUCCUCCCUUCCAGGCUCAAAACCACACCACCCCCACCCUAGAGAGAGAAACAAACAGACCAACAAUCAAACAUACUAGUACAAGUCGAGGUAGAGAGAGAAAGCUCGAGACAAGCUAAACUAGCUAGAGAGAGAUCAUGUCGGUGGCGGCGGAGGGGAAGGAGAAGGGGGUUGGUGGUGGGGGUGGUGGUGCGGGUGCGGGGGCGUGCGAGCUGUGCGGGGCGGCGGCGAGGGUGUACUGCGGGGCGGACGAGGCGACGCUGUGCUGGGGGUGCGACGCGCAGGUGCACGGGGCCAACUUCCUGGUGGCGCGGCACGCGCGGGCGCUGCUGUGCCGCGGGUGCGCGAGGCCCACGCCGUGGCGCGCCGCGGGGCCCAGGCUGGGCCCCACCGCGUCGCUCUGCGAGCGCUGCGUCCGCCGCGGCGGUGGUGGCCGUGGUGGUGGAGGAGGUGGAGGCGCUGCUGGUGGUGGAGGCCGUGGUGGUGGGGGAGACGAGGAGAUGGGCGGCGAGGGCGAUGAGGAGGAGGAGGACGAGGACGAGGAGGUGGUCGUCGAGGAGGAGGAGGACGAGGAUGAUGAAGACGAGGAGGGGGAGGGGGAGGGGGAGAACCAGGUGGUGCCGUGGGCGGAGGAGGCGGAGGCCACGCCGCCGCCCGUCGCGAGCUCCACGUCGAGCAGCAGCCGGGAGGCCGCCGCCAACGGCGCGAACGCCGCCGACCGCGUCAAGGAGGACCAGCCGUGCUCGACGUCGCAGCCGAGCUUGUGCCGGUACGCGUCCUCGGCUCACCAUGGCGGUGGUGGCCGGAGCGACGAGGCCACCUCCUCCCGGAACGGCGGUGGCGUCGGCGGCCGAUUCCUUGCCUCCCGGCAUAGGAAGAGAUCGCCCUCGGAUUUCCGCCGGUCGGGGUUGGCGCAGUCGGUGAGCGGCGUGCAGGGGAGGAAUUGCUCCAAUGCGGUCGUUGGUCGAAAUGAUGUUCUUGCAAGCAUGAUGUGAAAAUAUCAAGAUUUUUUUUAUGGACCAGUGCAAGCAUGAUGUGAAAAUAUCAAGAAGUGAGCAAGAAAGGGAAAAAAAAAGGCUUUUCCUGAGGCAACUGAAACAAUGAUGUAGAUGCUGAUGCUAACUACAUUAGAAGGUCACUUUUGGUGUAUCCAGGCAUUUGGGGGGAGAUGUGGAUCACUGCAAAGAUCAAACCUCCACCGAGCACACACAUCUUCACAUCUUUUCCGUCGACAACUUGCAGAGUCGACUUAUCACGCGGCCAUCCCAGAACUCGGUAGUAUUCAUAAUCGCGACGGCUUGCUGGAGCUUGUAUAUGUGCCCCCACUACUUUCAUGUGUUUAAAUCCCUUUUUGUCCUUUUGGAUGAGGCGUUCUGGCUAACUUAAGAAAUGAUAUAGGUUUGCAUUUGCAGUGCCAUUCUUCCAUGGUUUCACUGUCUGAAUGCUUCCAUUGUGCCCUAUGUUCAGUCUCAAACUUGUUCAGAAAUCACAAUCUUGGCUGAAAUGUGUUGAAAUCUGUAAA